GCGGGGGAGGGUAACAACGAGGUUAGCAUGUCUAAGUAUAAACAAUUUAUACAGUGAAACUGCGAAUGGCUCAUUAAAUCAGUUAUCGUUUAUUUGAUAGUACCUUACUACUUGGAUAACCGUGGUAAUUCUAGAGCUAAUACAUGCUUAAAAUCCCGACUGUUUGGAAGGGAUGUAUUUAUUAGAUAAAAAAUCAAUGUCUUCGGACUCUUUGAUGAUUCAUAAUAACUUUUCGAAUCGCAUGGCCUUGUGCUGGCGAUGGUUCAUUCAAAUUUCUGCCCUAUCAACUUUCGAUGGUAGGAUAGUGGCCUACCAUGGUUUCAACGGGUAACGGGGAAUAAGGGUUCGAUUCCGGAGAGGGAGCCUGAGAAACGGCUACCACAUCCAAGGAAGGCAGCAGGCGCGCAAAUUACCCAAUCCCGACACGGGGAGGUAGUGACAAUAAAUAACGAUACAGGGCCCUUUUGGGUCUUGUAAUUGGAAUGAGUACAAUGUAAAUACCUUAACGAGGAACAAUUGGAGGGCAAGUCUGGUGCCAGCAGCCGCGGUAAUUCCAGCUCCAAAAGCGUAUAUUAAAGUUGUUGCAGUUAAAAAGCUCGUAGGUGAACCUGCAGAAAUGAUCAACCGGUCCAUCUUUUUG
rnacentral:rRNA from 1 species